CACGCUGUAAACGAUGAGUGCUAGGUGUUGGCCAGCGAUGGUCAGUGCCGAAGUUAACACAAUAAGCACUCCGCCUGGGGAGUACGGUCGCAAGACUGAAACUCAAAGGAAUUGACGGGGACCCGCACAAGCAGCGGAGCAUGUGGUUUAAUUCGAAGCAACGCGAAGAACCUUACCAAGGUUUGACAUCCCCUUGACAGAUGCAGAGAUGUGUCCUCCCCUUCGGGGGCAAGGGAGACAGGUGG
rnacentral:rRNA from 1 species